rnacentral:rRNA from 1 species
ACUCCUACGGGAGGCAGCAGUGGGAAUCUUGGACAAUGGGGGCACCGUAGCAUCCAGCCAUGCCGCGUGAGUGAUGAAGGCCCUAGGGUCGUAAAGCUCUUUCGCCUGUGAAGAUAAUGACUGUAGCAGGUAAAGAAACCCGCUACAUCCGUGCCAGCAGCCGCGGUAAUACGGAGGGGGUUAGCGUUGUUCGGAAUUACUGGGCGUAAAGCGCGCGUAGGCGGACUGGAAAGUUGGGGUGGAAAUACCACGGCUCAAGCCCUGAACCUGGCCUCCAAACCUCAAUCAGUCUAGAGUUCGAGAGAGGUGAGUGGAAUUCCGAGUGUAGAGGUGAAAUUCGUAGAUAUUCGGAGGAACACCAGUGGCGAAGGCGGCUCACUGGCUCGAUACUGACGCUGAGGUGCGAAAGUGUGGGGAGCAAACAGGAUUAGAUACCCUGGUAGGCUCUGC